UACGUAGGGUGCAAGCGUUAUUCGGAAUCAUUGGGCGGAAAGAGCUCGUAGGCGGUUCAACGAGUCGGCUGUGAAAGUCCGAGGCUUAACCUCGGAAUUGCAGUCGAUACUGUUGUGACUCGAGUCCGGUAGAGGAGAAUGGAAUUCCCGGUGUAGCGGUGAAAUGCGCAGAUAUCGGGAGGAACACCAGUAGCGAAGGCGGUUCUCUGGGCCGGCACUGACGCUGAGGCACGAAAGCGUGGGGAGCAAAAAGG
rnacentral:misc_RNA from 1 species